CUGGUUGAUCCUGCCAGACCCGACUGCUAUCGGAUUGGGACUAAGCCAUGCGAGUCAACUCCGCAAGGGGUGGCGCACGGCUCAGUAACACGUAGUCAACCUACCCUGGGGACGGGGAUAACCUCGGGAAACUGAGGCUAAACCCCGAUGGGCCAUGGCUCCUGGAAUGGGCUAUGGCUGAAAUCUACAUGGCCCCGGGAUGGGACUGCGGCCGAUCAGGUUGUUGGUGGGGUAAUGGCCCACCAAGCCUAUAACCGGUGCGGGCUCUGAGAGGAGGAGCCCGGAGAUGGGCACUGAGACAAGGGCCCAGGUCCUAUGGGGCGCAGCAGGCGCGAAACCUCCGCAAUGGGCGAAAGCCCGACGGGGUCAGUCCGAGUGGUUCCCGCUGAGGGAACCUUUUGCCAGCUGUAAACAGGCUGGCGAAUAAGGGGUGGGCAAGUUUGGUGUCAGCCGCCGCGGUAAUACCAGCACCCCGAGUGGUCGGGACGAUUAUUGGGCCUAAAGCAUCCGUAGCCGGCCCAGUAAGUCCUCCGUUAAAUCCAACGGCUCAACCGUUGGGCUGCGGGGGAUACUGCUGGGCUAGGGGACGGGAGAGGCGAGGGGUAUUCCCGGGGUAGGGGUAAAAUCCACUGAUCCCGGGAGGACCACCAGUGGCGAAGGCGCCUCGCUAGAACGUGCCCGACGGUGAGGGAUGAAAGCUGGGGGAGCGAACCGGAUUAGAUACCCGGGUAGUCCCAGCCGUAAACGAUGUAGGCUCGGUGUUGGGCUGCCUCAGUGGCAGCCCAGUGCCGCAGGGAAGCCGUUAAGCCUACCGCCUGGGGAGUACGGCCGCAAGGCUGAAACUUAAAGGAAUUGGCGGGGGAGCACCAC
rnacentral:rRNA from 1 species